rnacentral:rRNA from 1 species
AGUGAACGCUGGCGGUAGGCCUAACACAUGCAAGUCGAACGGCAGCACAGGAGAGCUUGCUCUCUGGGUGGCGAGUGGCGGACGGGUGAGGAAUACAUCGGAAUCUACUCUGUCGUGGGGGAUAACGUAGGGAAGCUUACGCUAAUACCGCAUACGACCUACGGGUGAAAGCAGGGGACCUUCGGGCCUUGCGCGAUUGAAUGAGCCGAUGUCGGAUUAGCUAGUUGGCGGGGUAAAGGCCCACCAAGGCGACGAUCCGUAGCUGGUCUGAGAGGAUGAUCAGCCACACUGGAACUGAGACACGGUCCAGACUCCUACGGGAGGCAGCAGUGGGGAAUAUUGGACAAUGGGCGCAAGCCUGAGCCAGCCAUACCGCGUGGGUGAAGAAGGCCUUCGGGUUAUAAAGCCCUUUUGUUGGGAAAGAAAUCCAGCUGGCUGAUACCCGGUUGGGAUGACGGUACCCAAAGAAUAAGCACCGGCUAACUUCGUGCCAGCCGCCGCCGUAA